GGCCUCUUAGCAUAGUGGUAAUAUUGCAUGUCUCGCAAUAAAAGACCAAAGGCGCUGGUUCGAAUCCAGCAGCAGCCA